rnacentral:rRNA from 1 species
UUGGGUUAAGUCCCGCAACGAGCGCAACCCUCGACCUUAGUUGCCAGCAUUCAGUUGGGCACUCUAAGGUGACUGCCGGCUAAAAGUCGGAGGAAGGUGGGGGAUGACGUCAAAUCAUCAUGCCCCUUAUGACCUGGGCUACACACGUGCUACAAUGGGCGGUACAAAGGGUCGCGAACCCGCGAGGGGGAGCCAAUCCCAAAAAAGCCGCUCUCAGUUCGGAUUGCAGGCUGCAACUCGCCUGCAUGAAGCCGGAAUCGCUAGUAAUCGCGGAUCAGCAUGCCGCGGUGAAUACGUUCCCGGGCCUU